UCCGCACGUGGAAGCUCUGACCCGCCCACCACGUGGCCAGAGCCCCAAGGUAAAUAUCCCUAUGGACUUGGGAACCAAAACUCAAUAGUCCUGUUUCAAUGAGAGAAAGUGAAAAACCAGCGCAGCAGAGAGGGGUCACGAAUAAAUCUCCAAGAACUCCUUGGCGUGGCCACUUCAGGACCCUUUCCUGCAGAGCAUGAAGCAAAUCGAGGUGCUGCUGGACAAG
rnacentral:lncRNA from 1 species